rnacentral:lncRNA from 1 species
CAAAAAUCGGGAAUAAGUUAAGGGAUAUGAAUACUAUAUGUACACAAGUUUGAAUCUCCUCACAGACUACUGAAAAUGGCCCCUCCAUCUCUUCUUCUAAAGGUGGAUGAACAGCUUGGGAACAGAAUGUAGAGUGUUCCAAAUGGCAUCCUAGGUAGUGCACUGUUUUUCACCGGGGUCCAUAGAGCGCUGGUCAAAAGCAAUGUACUAUGUAGGGAAUAGGUAGUUGUUUUGGGACACAGCCUAAGUCUCUGAGGGCUCAGGCUGGUGGUUUGGGGCUGGUAUCUGCUGGUGAUUUCCACAGGGACGGUAGACAGUAGAGAGGAGCACACCACAGUAAUCCCAGAGACACAUCCAGCCUCAAUGGCCUGAACACAGCCUGCAUACAGCUGACAGGAUGGAUGAAUAGCAGGCAGAUCAAACAAGGGGAAAGCCUCUCCACAUUGCAGAGCUGGAAGAGAAGGAGAGCCCAGAUGAUCAGACUGGGGGGUGGUGGGAGGGAGUGUGUGUGUGUGUGUGUGUGUGUGUGUGUUACAGCCAGAGAGGCAGAUGGUCAUACCCUUCUCCAUUGGGGCUGGUGUGGGGUUCCACUGUUAGCCUCUCCCGUGGGACAAGACACUUCAGACCCCCACCACCACCUCCCUUACCCCCUUCCAGAAACCUCAGCUGUGGCCUCCAACAUGAGAGAGGAGGACAGAACAAGAUGAGAGAGGAGGACAGAACAAGAUGAGAGAGGAGGACAGAACAAGAUGAGAGAGGAGGACAGAACAAGAUGAGAGAGGAGGACAGAACAAGAAGAGAGAGGAGGACAGAACAAGAUAAGAGAGGAGGACAGAACAAGAUGAGAGAGGAGGACAGAACAAGAUGAGAGAGGAGGACAGAACAAGAUGAGAGAGGAGAACAGAACAAGAUGAGAGAGGAGGACAGAACAAGAUGAGAGAGGAGGACAGAACAAGAUGAGAGAGGAGGACAGAACAAGAUGAGAGAGGAGGACAGAACAAGAUGAGAGAGGAGGACAGAACAAGAUGAGAGAGGAGAACAGAACAAGAUGAGAGAGGAGGACAGAACAAGAUGAGAGAGGAGGACAGAACAAGAUGAGAGAGGAGGACAGAACAAGAUGAGAGAGGAGGACAGAACAAGAUGAGAGAGGAGAACAGAACAAGAUGAGAGAGGAGAACAGAACAAGAUGAGAGAGGAGGACAGAACAAGAUGAGAGAGGAGGACAGAACAAGAUGAGAGAGGAGGACAGAACAAGAUGAGAGAGGAGGACAGAACAAGAUGAGAGAGGAGGACAGAACAAUAUGAGAGAGGAGGACAGAACAAGAUGAGAGAGGAGGACAGAACAAGAUGAGAGAGGAGGACAGAACAAGAUGAGAGAGGAGGACAGAACAAGAUGAGAGAGGAGGACAGAACAAGAUGAGAGAGGAGGACAGAACAAGAUGAGAGAGGAGGGCAGAACAAGAUGAGAGAGGAGGACAGAACAAGAUGAGAGAGGAGGACAGAACAAGAUGGGAGAGGAGGACAGAACAAGAUGAGAGAGGAGGGCAGAACAAGAUGAGAGAGGAGGACAGAACAAGAUGAGAGAGGAGGACAGAACAAGAUGAGAGAGGAGAACAGAACAAGAUGAGAGAAGCAAUCAAAUCAUCUCUAUUCAAACUGUCAAUCAAUCAAAAUGAAACUUGCUCCCUGUAGAAAGAAUCAGUUUGAUUUAUUAGAGGGUUUGAACAGACUUUUCCCUAAGGAUUUGAGUUAUUAUGACAAAUGAUUGAUGAAAGCUUUUCAUGCUUAAUUAUAUUACAUGCUGUUGUGCAAAUGGAAUAGACAACAGGUGGAAAUUAUAGGCAAUUAGCAAGACACCCCCAAUAAAGGAGUGGUUCUGCAGGUGGGGACCACAGACCACUUCUCAGUUCCUAUGCUUCCUGGCUGAUGUUUUGGACACUUUUGAAUGCUGGCGGUGCUUUCACUCUAGUGGUAGCAUGAGACGGAGUCUACAACCCACACAAGUGGCUCAGGUAAUGCAGCUCAUCCAGGAUGGCACAUCAAUGCGAGCUGUGGCAAGAAGGUUUGCUGUGUCUGUCAGCGUAGUGUCCAGAGCAUGGAGGCGCUACCAGGAGACAGGCCAGUACAUCAGGAGACGUG